ACAGUGGUGUUGUCUUGGGGUAGGGUAAGUGGGCUGUUAUCAUCACUCCGCCCUUGAAGAAGGUCGUUGUCCUCAAUGACCAACGAAUCAGAAGAGAGGCCACGAUUGUGCUUUCAGGAAACGUUGGAGAUGUAAAGACUAGGAUUGGUUGGUUGGGAAAAGAAGUGGGGAUUGAAGGGACAUUAGUCUUGGGUAGUGGUCUCUUGGGAAAAGGAAGACACGUUGAAGUGAUAAGGAUGGUAUAGGUUGGUUGUUGGUUUAGGGCAAUGGUAGGAUUAGGGAUAGGUCCCAAGGUAGUGGAGAUCAUGUGGAUGAUGGGGAUUGGUUUGUAGGAUUGGUAGAAAAAUUAAGUGUUGGGGAAGUGUUUGUAAGUGGUUUAGUUGGUGUACUUUGAGAGAAAGGGGUUGGAGAGAAGCAAAUAGGGUGAGGUUCUUGAGAUGUUAUUGUUUCCAAUGGUGAAAGGGAGAUGACUGGCAGGGGAGAGUACUAAGUGUGAGGGUCGUUGCCUUUGAAGGGCCACAAUAAUGAGACAUGAAAGACGGGGUGGAUGCGAGAAGAGGGAGGAAGCACAAGCUCGUAAGCAACACGGUCUAGGUGCCGACGAACUUGAAACAACCUAAAAAGUUUCUUUGCCAAAUUUUGAGAGGUUCUGCGGGCCACUGUGGAUUGUCAGUGAGUCUGAGCUUCAAGAGGACCCAAUCACCUUCCUCAAAGGUAAUAUCUCGACAACUCUUGUUUGCUUGACUAAGCAUACUCUGCUUAUUUCUUUGAAUAUUUUUCUUAUAACUGGUGCAAGAUUUGUUCUUUGUAUUGCAAGGAAGAGUCAAGGUUAGACACGAAAGAUGUGUCCAGGAUGAAAUGAGAAAAUGCUGGUGGAGGUCAACCAUUGAGGGCUUGGAAUGGUGAUGUGUCAAUGGUAGAGUGAUGGCUAGUAUUGUACGAAUAUUUAACAAGAUGAAGAAAGGAGUACCAAUGUCGCGGUUGAUCACUAGCAUAACACCAUAGGGUGUGAACCAUUGCUGGAUAUGGAGAAGAAGUAACCAUUAAUAGCAAAGUUGGGGUUUUCGGGAGAGACAGGGCACCAACUACUUUGUCUUGUUUGCCAGGUACUGGCGCUACUUCUUGACGAACUCAGUGAUCACAUCUAAUUCGCAACUGUAAGUGGAGGCAGCUUGCUAUAAGGACUUAACUUCUUACUGAAAUAAGUAAUGAGGUAGCCUUGCUGAGACAGGUUGGCACCAAUGGUGAUACUAGAAGCAUCAGUCUCCACUAUAAAAACCUUGGAGAAGUUAGAAGUACAAGUUCUCAAUUGAGUGAAAAAGUUGGAAAAUGCACUAAUUUAUGAAGAUUUGAAGAUUCUGCACUUGUUAAUGGCCAUGGUCAACCAAGAGGACCGUGGUCAACCAAGAUGAUCGUGGUCACCAAUAGGGCCGUGGUCAAUCCAUAACAACCCAAAACUUCAACAACAUCUAUGAUAAUGACCGUGGUGGAUUCACCAUAUUCGUAAUGCGCCUUUUCGUGGAACAUAUUUAAGAAACGAUAUAUAGAUCUCUAAACUUUGUAAAACAUUAUCCAAUUUUUAUUCUUGUAUUUUGCGAAUUUGAGAGAACCUUGAGGGCUUUUGAGAGCUGAAGAGCGUGGACAAUAACAUUAGUACGGGUCAUGAUCAUUGUUCCUACCUAUUGAUAUGUCUAUGUUUAUUCUUUAUAGGAUUACUAGUUUUUCUCUAAUCAUGAGUGGCUAGUCCCCUUAGCCUAGGAGUUAUAAUGUAACUAUCAAAAUGUACUCAUUUCCUUGUUCU